GGUCAAUGAUGUGUUGGCAUGUAUUAUCUGAAUUUUCUGCUGAUGUGUGAAUAACACUUAGCUCUAGUUACGCUGAGACCUU
ensembl:snoRNA